rnacentral:rRNA from 1 species
AAAAAGCUUUUAAGGGCAGAUGGUGGAUGCCUUGGGUGAUAGAGGCGAUGAAGGACGUACUAAGCUGCGAUAAGCUAUGGGGAGCUGCUAAGAAGCUUUGAUCCAUAGAUUUCCGAAUGGGGCAACCCAGCUAGUAGAGAUACUAGUUAUGUAGGCAACAGAGAGUAGAGAUUGGCAGAUGGCGAAAUAUUUUGGAUGAGAAAUUAAUGUUGUGAAGCAAUUUGUGCGGAGACUAGACUUAGUGUCUGUCGCACAAACAAAUUGUGAACUCAUUAAUUUAUCGCCAAAAGAUAAGCCAAGCCUCUAUUGUCUGUUGCCUGCAGGCGAACCUAGCGAAGUGAAACAUCUCAGUAGCUAGAGGAAAAGAAAUCAAUAGAGAUUCUCCUAGUAGCGGCGAGCGAACGGGGAAAAGGGCAAACCAGUAGCUUGCUACUGGGGUUGAGGACUGCAAUAUCCACUUGAAUAAUGUAGCAGAAGUGUUUGGAAAAACACAUCACAGAGGGUGAUAGUCCCGUAUGCGAAAUAUUAUUCAUAGGUAGCAGGAUCCAGAGUAGGCCAGGACACGUGAAAUCCGGGCUGAAGCCGGGGAGACCACUCUCCAACCCUAAAUACUACUAUCACACCGAUAGCGAACAAGUACCGUGAGGGAAAGGUGAAAAGAACCGCAGUGAGCGGAGUGAAAUAGAACCUGAAACCAUCUGCCUACAAUCAUUCGGAGCCCUAUUGUGGGUCUCAUUAAGGAAUUAAGGGGAAUAUAUAAGAAAUUCUAGCAUUGUGAGCAAGAUUUGUGGGUUGUGCAGAAAAAAUCGCGGAGACUAGACUUAGAGUCUGUCGCACAAGAUUUUUUCAAACUCCCGCAAAGAUUGCCACAAGGCGAAUUUAGCUUGAUUUCUUAGUGAGGCUCACAAGGGUGACGGACUGCCUUUUGCAUAAUGAUCCUGCGAGUUGUGGUAUCUGGCAAGGUUAAGCAAACGCGAAGCCGUAGCGAAAGCGAGUCUGAAAGGGCGUUUAAGUCAGAUGCUGCAGACCCGAAGCGAAGUGAUCUAUCCAUGGCCAAGUUGAAGUAAGUGUAAUAGCUUAUGGAGGACUGAACUCGUACCCAUUGAAACGGGUUGGGAUGAGCUGUGGAUAGGGGUGAAAGGCCAAACAAACUUCGUGAUAGCUGGUUCUCUUCGAAAUAUAUUUAGGUAUAGCCUCAAGUGAUAGUAAUAGGGGGUAGAGCUCUGAUUGGGCUAGGGCUGCUCACCGCGGUACCAACCCCUGUCAAACUGCAAAUACCUAUUACCGUAUCUUGGGAGUCAGGCGGUGGGUGAUAAAAUCAAUCGUCAAAAGGGGAACAACCCAGACUACCAACUAAGGUCCCAAAGUUCUAUUCUAAGUGGAAAAUGAUGUGAAGUUACUUUGACAACCAGGAGGUUGGCUUAGAAGCAGCCAUCCUUUAAAGAAAGCGUAACAGCUCACUGGUCUAGUGAUUUUGCGCAAAAAAUAUAACGGGGCUAAGAUAGACACCGAAGUUGUAGAUUAUGCUGAUGCAUAGUGGUAGAAGAGCGUUCGUAUUGCGUUGAAGGUAUACCGGUAAGGAGUGCUGGAGCGAUGCGAAGUGAGCAUGCAGGAAUGAGUAGCGAUAAAAGUGGUGAGAAUCCACUUCGCCGAAAGUCUAAGGUUUCCUACGCGAUGCUCGUCAUCGUAGGGUUAGUCGGGUCCUAAGACAAGUCAGAAAUGGGUAGUCGAUGGAAAAUGGGUUAAUAUUCCCAUACCAACAUUAGUGUGCGAUGGGGGGACGCAUAGGGCUAAGUAGCGUUAGCUGAUGGAAGUGCUAAUUUAAAAGCGUAGAUUGAGAGAUAGGUAAAUCCGCUCUUGUAUUCGAAACUUGAAUAGCUUGUUGCGAUCUUCGGAUCAAGAUGAGUGCUACUGACGCCGUCGUGCCAAGAAAAGCCUCUAAGUUUAGCUAAUGUUGCCCGUACCGCAAACCGACACAGGUAGAUGAGAUGAGUAUUCUAAGGCGCGUGAAAGAACUCUAGUUAAGGAACUCUGCAAACUAGCACCGUAAGUUCGCGAUAAGGUGUGCCACAGCAAUGUGGUCUCAGCAAAGAGUCCCUCCCGACUGUUUACCAAAAACACAGCACUUUGCAAACUCGUAAGAGGAAGUAUAAGGUGUGACGCCUGCCCGGUGCUCGAAGGUUAAGAGGAUUAGUCAGACGCAAGUCGAAGCUUUGAAUUGAAGCCCGAGUAAACGGCGGCCGUAACUAUAACGGUCCUAAGGUAGCGAAAUUCCUUGUCGGUUAAAUACCGACCUGCAUGAAUGGCGUAACGAGAUGGGAGCUGUCUCAACUAGGGAUUCAGUGAAAUUGUAGUGGAGGUGAAAAUUCCUCCUACCCGCGGCAAGACGGAAAGACCCCGUGGACCUUUACUACAGCUUGACACUGCCGAUGGGAGCAUUAUGCGCAGGAUAGGUGGGAGGCUUUGAAAUCUUUACUCUGGUAGAGAUGGAGCCAUCCUUGAGAUACCACCCUUAAUGUUUCUGUCUGCUAACUAGCUUGAGUUAUCCUCAAGUAGGACAAUGUCUGGUGGGUAGUUUGACUGGGGCGGUCGCCUCCUAAAAAGUAACGGAGGCUUGCAAAGGUUGGCUCAUUGCGGUUGGAAAUCGCAAGUAGAGUGUAAUGGCAUAAGCCAGCCUGACUGUAAGACAAACAAGUCGAGCAGAGACGAAAGUCGGUCAUAGUGAUCCGGUGAUUCUGUGUGGAAGGGUCAUCGCUCAAAGGAUAAAAGGUACCCCGGGGAUAACAGGCUGAUCUCCCCCAAGAGCUCACAUCGACGGGGAGGUUUGGCACCUCGAUGUCGGCUCAUCGCAUCCUGGGGCUGGAGCAGGUCCCAAGGGUAUGGCUGUUCGCCAUUUAAAGCGGUACGCGAGCUGGGUUCAGAACGUCGUGAGACAGUUCGGUCCCUAUCUGCCGUGGGCGUAGGAGAGUUGAGGAGAGCUGUCCCUAGUACGAGAGGACCGGGAUGGACAUGCCACUGGUGUACCAGUUGUUCUGCCAAGAGCAUCGCUGGGUAGCUACGCAUGGAUGUGAUAACCGCUGAAAGCAUCUAAGCGGGAAGCCAACUCCAAGAUGAACUCUCCCUGAAGGUCGCAGCAAGACUAGCUGCUUGAUAGGGUAGGUGUGUAAGCAUAGUAAUAUGUUCAGCUGACUACUACUAAUAGACCGUUUGGCUUUUUAUUAA